AGAAAACAUCUAAUCCUUGCUCUUUUGUUAACUCGAUCAUGCCUGAAAGGAUAAUCACAAAACAAUCGUCUACGGUCGCACUCUUCAGCCACUUCUCCAUGUUUUGACCAAGAAACAAAAGCCCUUUCUCAAUGUUCAAACAGCCGACAUUCCAGGUUUUGAGAGCCAUCACACAAGCAAGAGUGUCGGCGAGGCACUGGAGGCCCCCA
rnacentral:misc_RNA from 1 species